ensembl:snRNA U6 U6 spliceosomal RNA
GUGUUCACUUUGGCAGCAUAUAUACUAAAAUUGGAACGAUACAGAGAAGAUUAGCAUGGCCCCUGCACAAAUAAUAAACUUUGAUGACCAAUUAAAAAAAAAUCCUA